UGUUUGGUUAAGCUUAAAAAUAAGUAAAUUUACUUGUGAGUUUUUGUCUCUGAAUAUUGCUUGGAUAAUUUGUAUCUGCUUUUUAAAUAUAGUAAGUUAAUUUUCUGGAAAUAAGAACUUACUUUACUGGUAAAAUAAGUAACUUAUUCUUAACUUUGAUCAAUUAAAAGAUUCAUUUAUUUUAAAGCGUGCUUAUUAACUUGAGCUUAGCCAAACAUGCUAUUAGUCUUAUGCUGGCAAUGGUAAAGGCCAUGCUUUAGUGUCUUUUUGAAACAUAGCAACUUAUGCAAUGUCAAUUGAUCUUGUAGGAUGAAGCUAUCAAUGUUUGCUUCCGUAACAAAUAUCAUCCCCAACUUGGACGAUCCAUCCAAAAUUUCAGGACAUAUUGUGGACAGAGAUACAAAAGCAGUUGAGAAAUUUGAGUUUGAUCCAACGAAGCUGACUGCAUUUGAAACUUGUAACGGGAUCUGGAAGAUGAUAAACUCGUGAAAGGCAUUUCAAGUGAAAGUCUUGUAUAACUUAUUUGGAACCGUGUUAUUCUGAUCAUUGUAAUGGAAUCUAAUGCAAAGUUUUGUAAUGGAGUUGUACAUUUUUUGGUCCUUCAAAUAGUUACUAUUAAAUUUAGAUUUUUGAGUG